GUCUAUGGCCAUACCACCCUGAAUGUGCCCAAUCUCAUCUGAUCUCCGAAGCUAAGCAGGGUCAGGCCCAGUAUGUACUUGGACAGGGGAAGGAGCCCUUCUCAGAGUCAGAAAAGCUGCUGAAGACA
ensembl:rRNA 5S_rRNA 5S ribosomal RNA